GGCGGCGUGCCUAACACAUGCAAUUCUAACGGACAUGCGAUGUGAGCGACAGGUGCUUGCACUGAUUAAUCUUUUCGUAUCUUAAUGGCGGACGGGUGAUUAACGCGUGGGUGACCUGCCUUAUACCGGGGGAUAACACUUAUAAAUAGGUGCUAAUACCGCAUAACCGCACGGUGUCGCAUGACACUUUGUGAAAGACUCCGGUGGUAUAAGAUGGACCCGCGUCUGAUUAGCCAUGUGGCACGGUAACGGCCUACCAAAGCGAGGAUCAGUAGCCGGCCUGACAGGGUGAACGGCCACAUUGCGACUGAUACACGGGCCACACUCCUACGGGAGGCAGCACUGGGGAAUAUUGCACAAUGGGGGAAACCCUGAUGCAGCGACGCCGCGAGAGUGAACAAGUAUUUCUGAAUGUAAAGCUCUAUCACCAUGGAAGAAGAAAUGACGGUACCUGACUAACAACCCCUGGCUAACUACGCUGCCAGCACCCGCGGUAAUGACCUACGGGGCUAGCGUUGUCCGGAAUUACUGGCUGCAACGGGAGCGUACGCGGGUAGGUAACUUGAAUGUUCAAUCUAUGGGCUCAACCCAUAACUGCGUACGCUACUGGUUAUCUUGAGUGCGGUAGAGGCAGAUGGAAUUCCUAGUGUAGCGUCGAUAUGCGUAGAUAUUACGAGGAACACCAGUGGAGAAGGCGAUGUGCUGGGCCCUAACUGACGUUGAGGCUAGAAAGAGUGGGUAGCAAACAGGAUUAGAUACGAUGGUAGUACACGCUGUAAACGAUGAUUAGUAGGUGUGGGAGGUCUGACUCCUUCCGUGCUGGAGUUAUCACAAUAAGUAAUCCACAUGGGGAGUACGACGCGCAAGGUUGAAACUCAAAGAAAUUGACGGGGGCCCGCACAAGCAGUGGAGUAUGUGGUUUAAUUUGAAGCAACGCGAAGAACUUUACCAGGUCUUGACAUCGAGUGAAGAACAUAGAGAUAUGUUCGUCGUUCGGGACACAAAGACAGGUGGUGCAUGGUUGUUGUCAGAUAAGUGUCGUGAGAUGUUGGGUUAAGUCCUGUAACGAGCGCAACCCUUACCAUUAGUUGUUACAUUCAGUUGAGCACUUUAAUGGGACUUCCGUUGACAAAACGGAGGAAGGUGGUGUCGAUUUCAAAUCAUCAUGCCCUUUUUUACGUGGGCUACACAAUUAUUACAAUGGCAAUAAACAAUGGGCAGCAACACAGAGUUGUGAAGAGAAUCUUCAAACAUUGCAUCAGUUUGGAUUGUAGGUUGCAACUCGCCUACAUGAAGUAUGAAUUGUUAGUAAUUGUGUAUCAGAAUUCCACGGAGAAUAGGUUCCCGGGCGUUGUACACUCCUCCCGUCACACCAU
rnacentral:rRNA from 1 species